AUUGAACGCUGGCGGCAGGCCUAACACAUGCAAGUCGAGCGAGCGGCGGACGGGUGAGUAAUGUAUGGGGAACUGCCUGAUAGAGGGGGAUAACUACUGGAAACGGUGGCUAAUCCCGCAUACUAUCGGAUGAACCCAUAUGGGAUUAGCUAGUAGGUGGGGUAAUGGCUCACCUAGGCGACGAUCGCUAGCUGGUCUGAGAGGAUGAUCAGCCACAUGGGGACUGAGACACGGCCCAGACUCCGACGGGAGGCAGCAGUGGGGAAUAUUGCACAAUGGGCGCAAGCCUGAUGCAGCCAUGCCGCGUGUGUGAAGAAGGCCUUAGGGUUGUAAAGUACUUUCAGCGGGGAGGCGUUACCCGCAGAAGAAGCACCUGCUAACUCCGUGCCAGCAGCCGCGGUAAUAC
rnacentral:rRNA from 1 species